UUUGAGAUAUAUGUCAUGUACAAAAUCUGCCAAGGUUGUUGAUCGCCAUAAUACUACCAAUUCUCGGUUGAAUCCAAUCUUUGGCUUCUGUGGACAUCUCUCAAAUGAGAAGACUGCAGAUUUUUUUCAAGUGGGUACGUGUAUGUAUGAAUGCUUGCUUGGUACAAUUGGAUUACCAAUUAUGCUAAACAGAUCUAGGAAACAAGAAAGAAGGGAUAUCAUACAAGAAUAUCAGUAUCAAUAUCUUUGCUGAAAGAGUGGACUCAACAGAACCUAGACCAAUAAGCGAAAAGCUACUGACAUACUACAAGAUUUUAAAGGGAAAAAAAAUGAUACAAUGAGAAGAACACAUGUAUUCCAUUGCUUGGAACCAGAUAGAGCUACUAAAAAUGAUUCAUUUGAAGGUUUGUUUAUCCAACGGAGCAUUGGAAGAGAAAAUGCAACUGUAUUAGCAGCUUUGGUUGUGGAAGAAUUCUUGAGGUAUUGAAGGAGGGCAGUAUUUCUUCGCUACGAAUUUGUACUUAUGUUGACUGUAUUUCUCCCUGAUUGCAGGUAAGGUAGAAUUAUUGCUGUUACAGCACAAGCGGAGGAGAUCCUUAACACAGUCACACAAAUCUGAAGGCUUGUAAAGUGUGUAAUGCUGCAAAGUAGAAUUCCAUGGUCUUCUCGAAGGAAGAAGUAUAUAUUUAGCCAAGAAAAUAGAAGAGGCGGCGAUGAGUGAUGGAGCAUAACCAAGCAUACUGUACUCUAGGAGCGAUAAUUCAGUGAGAUAGCUGGCCAAGCACUCCAAAUGCAUUGAUGGAACCUCAUUGAUUCCUUGAGCAGCACGAACAAAUCGU
rnacentral:misc_RNA from 1 species